CAAUGCCGCGUGAGUGAUGAAGGUUUUCGGAUCGUAAAGCUCUGUUGCCAGGGAAGAACGCUUGGGAGAGUAACUGCUCUCAAGGUGACGGUACCUGAGAAGAAAGCCCCGGCUAACUACGUGCCAGCAGCCGCGGUAAUACGUAGGGGGCAAGCGUUGUCCGGAAUUAUUGGGCGUAAAGCGCGCGCAGGCGGUCAUUUAAGUCUGGUGUUUAAUCCCGGGGCUCAACCCCGGAUCGCACUGGAAACUGGGUGACUUGAGUGCAGAAGAGGAGAGUGGAAUUCCACGUGUAGCGGUGAAAUGCGUAGAUAUGUGGAGGAACACCAGUGGCGAAGGCGACUCUCUGGGCUGUAACUGACGCUGAGGCGCGAAAGCGUGGGGAGCAAACAGGAUUAGAUACCCUG
rnacentral:rRNA from 1 species